rnacentral:rRNA from 1 species
AGAGUUUGAUCCUGGCUCAGGACGAACGCUGGCGGCGCGCCUAACACAUGCAAGUCGAACGAGCGAGAGAGAGCUUGCUUUCUCGAGCGAGUGGCGAACGGGUGAGUAACGCGUGAGGAACCUGCCUCAAAGAGGGGGACAACAGUUGGAAACGACUGCUAAUACCGCAUAAGCCCACGGCUCGGCAUCGAGCAGAGGGAAAAGGAGCAAUCCGCUUUGAGAUGGCCUCGCGUCCGAUUAGCUAGUUGGUGAGGUAACGGCCCACCAAGGCGACGAUCGGUAGCCGGACUGAGAGGUUGAACGGCCACAUUGGGACUGAGACACGGCCCAGACUCCUACGGGAGGCAGCAGUGGGGAAUAUUGCACAAUGGGGGAAACCCUGAUGCAGCGACGCCGCGUGGAGGAAGAAGGUCUUCGGAUUGUAAACUCCUGUUGUUGAGGAAGAUAAUGACGGUACUCAACAAGGAAGUGACGGCUAACUACGUGCCAGCAGCCGCGGUAAAACGUAGGUCACAAGCGUUGUCCGGAAUUACUGGGUGUAAAGGGAGCGCAGGCGGGAAGACAAGUUGGAAGUGAAAUCCAUGGGCUCAACCCAUGAACUGCUUUCAAAACUGUUUUUCUUGAGUAGUGCAGAGGUAGGCGGAAUUCCCGGUGUAGCGGUGGAAUGCGUAGAUAUCGGGAGGAACACCAGUGGCGAAGGCGGCCUACUGGGCACCAACUGACGCUGAGGCUCGAAAGUGUGGGUAGCAAACAGGAUUAGAUACCCUGGUAGUCCACACUGUAAACGAUGAUUACUAGGUGUUGGAGGAUUGACCCCUUCAGUGCCGCAGUUAACACAAUAAGUAAUCCACCUGGGGAGUACGACCGCAAGGUUGAAACUCAAAGGAAU